CACGUGCAGUCGCCUGCCUACACGAAACUAACCCCGGUGCUAAAGACGUAGCCGGCUACACAUAUGGAGGCUGCCACUCUCCCCUCCGCCUCGGCGCAGACCUGGCUGUCCAUCUCCGGGAUUUUGAGCCAAUCAACCAGGCGUUCCACACAUCCCUAAUGAGCUCACGGGGGAUGUGACUCGAACAUGGCGACGUGCGCCCACAGUCCCCCCCCCACACACA